rnacentral:rRNA from 1 species
AUUGAACGCUGGCGGCAUGCUUUACACAUGCCGGUCGAACGGUAACAGGCCUUCGGGUGCUGACGAGUGGCUAACGGGUGAGUAAUGCAUCGGAACGUACCCAGAGGUGGGGGAUAACGCAGCGAAAGCUGUGCUAAUACCGCAUGUGAUCUGAGGAUGAAAGCGGGGGACCGAGCAGCAAUGUUUGGCCUCGCGCCUUUGGAGCGGCCGAUGUCGGAUUAGCUAGUUGGUGGGGUAAAGGCCUACCAAGGCGACGAUCCGUAGCUGGUCUGAGAGGACGACCAGCCACACUGGGACUGAGACACGGCCCAGACUCCUACGGGAGGCAGCAGUGGGGAAUUUUGGACAAUGGGCGCAAGCCUGAUCCAGCAAUGCCGCGUGCGGGAAGAAGGCCUUCGGGUUGUAAACCGCUUUUGGCAGGAACGAAACGGUGUCCGCUAAUACCGGGCGCUAAUGACGGUACCUGCAGAAUAAGCACCGGCUAACUACGUG